rnacentral:ncRNA from 1 species
GAUUGCCGAGGUGGUAGAUUUCGUCCCGACCACGCGCCGAUGGUAUGACAAGGGGAAACCCUGAGAGAUGCAGGAGAGGGGGACGCCUGCCGGCAAUC